rnacentral:lncRNA from 1 species
UUUAAUUCUCAAUAUUAUAUCUUGAUUAUUUGAAGAGUUCAAAUAUAAGAGUUGGAAUUUUUGUUUAAUACAUUCAUUUGAUGAAUAAGAUUAAAAAAAAGAACAUGUGAGGGCUCAUAGUUCCCUAACAAGAAACCACGCCGCCAAACACAACUGAACUAGAAAAUAUAAUAUAAAUUUAAACUAAAAUACAGUAUAAGCUAUUCAUCCAUUGUACAAUAUUUAACAUAAUUUAUAUUAUGAGGUUACAAAAUUCUGUAGAGUCCACAACUGGACUAAAACUCACUAGAUGAGAACCAAAAUAUGAAAUUCCUGAUUUGGCUCUCUAGAUUAUCUUCAUCGGCCUGAUUUGAAAAAUGAUUAGAAUUUGAAUGGAAUGAGCAAAAUAACAGGCUCAGUAAAUAUAUCGAAUAAACUACACCUUAUGCAUGUGAUAUAUCAACAUACAAUCAAUAAGAAAUGUAUAAUCUUUCUUUCCCUUUAUGUUUGAAAAUCAUGAAAUGCAAAGAUAUUCCAUUUCUUAUCUUAUCUCUCAUUGUUCUCCCUAACUUCUUUUUAUCUACUCUUUUACCCUCACUAUUUCUCCGUUACUAGUUAUCUCUCAAAAUUCCUCUUUUUUAUUAUUUUCUCAUUAUCCCCCUAAUUUCUUUCCUUUUUUUAAUUUCCUAAUUGUAACCACUCAUAUUGUACACUAUUAUCACAUCACAUCUAGUUUUAAAAUCAUACUCAUCCAAUAGUUUCUCUUUAAUCCAUAUUUAUCCCACAAAUCCACAUAUAAGAAUUUCUUACAAAUUUCCGACCAAACCAAGACAUCCGUAACCCCUCAGUGGGUAUCCCCAAUUCUUUAUUUGCCCCAACAUAAUCAUCAAUUUAAAGUUAUUAAAAUUUUAGAAUUGUCUUUGAGAUUGAACGAAUGAAUCUGUUAUCCAAUUGGUACCAUUAUGGGAUUAGGAUUCCCACUAUCACAAGGGGAUGCACACAAAGUCAAAACACACACAAUGGUCACAGCAGUCUGUCGCCAGGUGACCCAGAAUAUAACACACACCCCAACUAUGUCUGGAAAGAUUUCCAUCCACUUAAGGAUAGGGUUCACCACACCCCUGAACUUCAAUCAUACCAAUCUUAAACGUGUUAACUAUAAAUUUUUGUUUCUUCCAAGUUUUUGUUUUGUUUUCUUUUUUCUCCUAUUCGAGUUAAGAUUGAUAUUUUUAUUUUUUCUAACGGAUUAAUUAUAUUCUCUAGAAACUUUAUACACUUUCUUAGUUAACCUUACUCUAUAUCUCACACUAUUCUAAAUCUCCCAGUUGUCUCUUUUUUAUCCUUAUAAAACUCACUAUCUUAAUCCGACACUUUUCUGUUUAUUAUAAUUUAUUUAGUUAUCAUUUUAUUUAUUAUUUAUGUUUUAAUGCUUGUAUUAUUUUUAGUUUUUAAUUUUAUUAAUUUCAUUUAGAAUCCCUAAUUUUAUUUGAGAAUGUGUUUUUUUUUUGUUGAUCUUAUUUUAUUUGUGAGAGUUAUUUUAUGUGUUCAUGAUCUUAUUGGUGAAUAUGUACUAUUAUUAAUAUUCUAUUAAGACUAUUCAACUCAUCAUACAAUUAACCAUCAACUAUCAUACAAUAUUUAAAACAUGCAAUCUUCAUUCAACAAUUAAGCAACAAGCAAAUGACUAAUUAAAACAUUCAAUAUUACCAUUUUCUACUUUCUCCCACUUACUUGAUUAUCAAAUCAUGAUUUCUUUAUUUUGUAAACCUUACUUAAAACUUAAUUAGGUUUUUGCUUGAAAAUAUUUUUGAAAAUAUGUGAAUGUGAAUUUUGGAUAGCUAUUAGAUAUACUACGUACUUUAAGGAUAAAGGAUUCUGAUUUGAGUUCCAAACACCAUCCAACUAUUAACAGAAACUUGCACAACAACUAAGUCUUCUUGGGUCAGUGGUGAACCCAAGAGUUUCAUGCAAUCAUAUUGAAUGUCUAUCUCGUUUUUACAACUAUUCUAGUCACUAAAGCAAUCCAAUUUAACUUUUCUUUGUUUUAUCUAUUUGAUUAAUUACAUAAUUUAGUAAAUAAUACUUUCUUAUCAUUUUAUAUUAAUCUUACUUUAAUUAAUUAAUAAUUUAUUUUUAAUUUACUUUAUCUAUUAUUCAUUCAAGUCUAAAAGAAAUCAUUACAAAUAUUUUUUUUCUAUUUUCUUAAAUUCUCUUCUUAUAUCAUCUAUUAUAUUCAAAGCGAAAUUUAUUAAUUUUUUUACAUAUUUAUUACGUAACACCCAACAUUUAAUUAUUUUUAUUUUUAUUUAAUUAUUAUUUUUAUUAUAUAAAUAUAGUUAUUAUUUAUAUGAUUUUAAUUUAUUUUAAUUUAUUUUAAUUUGAUUUAAUGAAAAUAAUAAUAAUAAAAUGGGUAACAAAUUGGUUAGGGAUUUAAUUGAAAACAAUUUUGGGAAAAAUGGGUGAAAAUUUGGGUUCUGGGGGUAUUUUUGAAAGAAAAGUUGCAAACCGUGGUCAAAACGCAAUUUAAAAAGUUACACCACGUCAGCUGUUCGGUCAGCAGCCCCGACCAACUAGGACGCGCUAGGUGGCAGAGGCGCUGAUGCGGGAGGCCACGUGGGUGAUCUGCAUGCGCGUGAUCAAACGGCUGAGAUCCAUUCCCGUGCGCACGGAUGGCCUAGAUCGAAAACGUGCACGGACGGCCCAAAUUGCAUCGCGCAUAGACGAUCCAGAUCGAAUCGUGGACGGACGGCUCAGAUUGAAUCGCGAUGAACAGUCCAGAUUCAGUCCCUAUUUAAUCGCAAUCGGACAGUCCAAAUUAAAAGCGAUAGACGGCUCAGAUCAAAAGUGGAUGGGUAUAAAUAACCCCAUCUGCACCCAAACCCUAACCCAAGCCGCCAGAGCCCCUCGUCAAAGAAGAUAGCCCAGCCACCGGGUAGCUGAUCGCCGCUACCCGCUGUUGUAUCGGAGCAAUUUCUGACUGCCAAACGAGAUAAAAAUUUCCCCUCUUCCACGAAAUUCAAUUUUAAACCCACCCAUGGCCAAACCGGAGUGAAAGAACCGGCCGAUUGGCUGAAAAAUGCUGCCGAAGCUCAGCGGCAGCACCGCGGGGUGUUUAAAAAAAGGCCUCCGAUGAGGCCCUUCCCGAUUCCCGUUUGAUGUGAUUUUUCCACUGUUGUGACCACCGUUUCCUUCUCUACAGGUUGACCGAAACAAAACACCCAACUGCAACGUGAGCCAGAGGAGCCACCGCACCGGAAAGCCCCACCGCCGGUGAGUUUUGGUUUUCUACGUUUUUUCAACCCACCAAGGGCCCUAAGUGUGUUUUCUUCCAGGAAUAGGUAUAAGUUCGGCUGAAUUCAGCUGAAAAUGGCCGAAAACAGCCAACUCGAGGUGGAUCACCGCAGCCGGAGCAAGGUGGAGCCGCCGUGCCAGAAUUUCGAAAUUAGUCGAGUAGGCCCUGGGUCUGAUUUUUGGGUUUAUUUUGGACACUUGUAGGUACCGUAAGCGCAUUUCAGUUCCCGAAGAAAAAUUCAAGGAACCUAGAGAUCGCCCGUAGGAGCAGUAACCAUCUAGUUUUCGGCGUCAAAUCAAGUAAGUA